rnacentral:tmRNA from 2 species
CCCCUUCCCAAACACAUCCACGAAGCCUAUAUUCCCAGUGUUCCCUCGGGAACUAUGGACAUAAACGCGCUCGUAAUAAGCGGAUCGGACCCGGGGGCGGUACCCGGCGGCUCCACCAUAAGACCCUUGUUGGGGGACCAUGGGGCCGAAACAGGAUCGACGAACGUCUAAAGGGGUUUGCUUUGUCCCGGUGAGGUACCACCGUUAUCGGUCCGUAAAGCAUAAUUGCCAACAACAAUCAUGCUCCGGUUGCAGUUGCUGCGUAAGCGGUAACAAGACCGAAACUUAAGCCCUCUCGCCUAGCCGCGUGAGGCGGGGUUCGCAGGCACCUGGCAACAGAAGCCUGCACU